rnacentral:rRNA from 1 species
UACGUAGGUGGCAAGCGUUGUCCGGAAUUACUGGGUGUAAAGGGAGCGUAGGCGGGAAAGCAAGUUGAAUGUUUAAGGUAUGGGCUCAACCUGUACAAGCGUUCAAAACUGUUUUUCUUGAGUGGAGUAGAGGUAAGCGGAAUUCCUAGUGUAGCGGUGAAAUGCAUAGAUAUCGCGCAGAACUCCGAUUGCGAAGGCAGCAUGCCGGCUCCACACUGACGCUGAGGCACGAAAGCGUGGGUAUCGAACAGG